AGCCAAGUACUGAAAGUAAAAGAUAUAACACCAGUACGUUUUUUAUACGCAGAAACCCUGCAACAAGGGAGAAUAACUGCGUGCCUCUAACUCUUGAGAGACAAACUAUUCCACUAUUGUAAAGACACUUCUUACAAGACUCACAACUCAGAGGAUAGCACAACACCUAGCUAUCCUGCCUAGUCUAACUACUAGCACUCAACUGAACUUGCUCUCUUGUCACUCGAGUGUUUUACACAUAGCACGAAUCUAAGCUUCUAUGCAGAAUUCAACUAACACCUUUAGCUAAUUCUCAAAGACAGCUUCGCCGGGGUUGUUGCAUCACCUAGAUAAAUCUCAAGGUAUGCAAAUGCACAAUGAUAUGAGUUGAAAAGGUUUUGGUGCUCAGCUCUAAGAUUGACAAUCACAGGAAAAACUUAGAGAUAUAUGAGCAGUUUAGCAAAUGCUAGACUCAAUGGAAGAAAACAAGCAAGACUAUUUUCAACAACCAAAGAGCAAGAGAGGUCUUGCUCUCUAUUUAUAGGCAAAGUGCACAGCUAUGAGGAAGCAAGCACGUUUGCCACAUCAACAAGAUUCUUUUGGACUCUAGCUGCUUGUCUGGAAUACUAGGACGGAUAGGACCCUAGGGAUCCCUCCACUCACAAGACAAA
rnacentral:lncRNA from 1 species